UCUGCGGAUCCAGUUCCCCGGAGCAGCCCGUUUACCCCACCCACCUCCGGGCCUCUCCGCCGGAACCUGUGCCGGAUUGAUGGCUCCAAAGGACAUCGUUAAACUUAAGCACCGUGAAGACCAAGCAACGACAAGUCGAUGUACUUUACAAAGGAGCUCAAGGAAAUCCAUGAUCCCUGGACUCCGGACACACAAGUCUCUUUUGAAAGGCACCUCGAGGAAUGAGCUCUCCAGAGUAAGGCUCACUUCUGGAGAGCCAGAAGUCACACCUUUACUGAGUUGAAUGUAAACAACAACAACAAAAAAACUGGCUUGCAUCUGAGAUCAUCAGUAUUUAGAGGCCCUAUCACAGAGCGCAGGUGAAGCAAGCACAAACUUUACUGGCCACUGCGGCUGCAAAGUACAUUUCUCAGCUGAACCCCUUCUGGUAAGGACCAAAUUCCUUAAGCAUGGCCCACAAGUUCCUUCAUGACUGGAUCCUGUCAUCUUUUAUUUCCCAGAACCUAGUCUACAUUUCCCAACAGGUUCUCUCUCACAUCCUCUGUGUUCACGUCUUCACUGCUUUCCAGGUGAAAUGCUGCAUUGCUUCAUCUUCCUCCCACUCUCCACCCUACUCAUUCAUCCUUCUAUAAUCAACUCAAGGAGUGUUUAUGAAGACACCUGCUCUGGUACCACCUUCUCCUUCCUAGGUGGGGUUAGUGUUCCUGGCACAAGUGACGUAGUGUAGUAAUAUCUCCCUCAUAGAGCUGCUGAGGGGAUUAAAUGAACAACUCACCUAUAACAGCUACGACAGUAAUUGCUUCAUAAAUAGCAGAUUUAUUUGUAAUCUUAGAAUAUUCUGCAUAUAUCUCUUUCAUAGUUCCUAUCACAGUGCUGCAAUUUUAGAUUUGCAAGUCACUUUUCUCCACUAUAAUAACUU